GCGGCAACAGCUCAAAUUUGAAAUCUGGCGCAAGCCCGAGUUGUAAUUUGCAGAGGAUGCUUCUGGGUAGCGGCCGUUCUAAGUUCCUUGGAACAGGACGUCAUAGAGGGUGAGAAUCCCGUACGUGACCGGCACGCACCCUUUCCGUAGCUCCUUCGACGAGUCGAGUUGUUUGGGAAUGCAGCUCUAAAUGGGAGGUAAAUUUCUUCUAAAGCUAAAUACCGGCCAGAGACCGAUAGCGCACAAGUAGAGUGAUCGAAAGAUGAAAAGCACUUUGGAAAGAGAGUUAAAAAGCACGUGAAAUUGUUGAAAGGGAAGCGCCUGCAACCAGACUUCGCGGCAGUGUUCCGCCGGUCUUCUGACCGGUUCACUCUCUGCCGCGAGGCCAUCAUCGUCUGGGGCCGCCGGAUAAGACUGGAAGAAUGUGGCUCCCCUCGGGGAGUGUUAUAGCUUCCGGUGAUGCGGCGCGCCCCGGGCGAGGUCCGCGCUUCGGCAAGGAUGAUGGCGUAAUGGUUGUCGGCGGCCCGUCUUGAAACACGGACCAAGGAGUCUAACAUCUAUGCGAGUGUUCGGGUGUCAAACCCCUACGCGUAAUGAAAGUGAACGGAGGUGGGAACGUUUCGUGCACCAUCGACCGAUCCUGAUGUCCUCGGAUGGAUUUGAGUAAGAGCAUAGCUGUUGGGACCCGAAAGAUGGUGAACUAUGCCUGAAUAGGGUGAAGCCAGAGGAAACUCUGGUGG
rnacentral:rRNA from 1 species